AUUGAACGCUGGCGGCAGGCCUAAAACAUGCAAGUCGAACGAGUGGCGGACGGGUGAGUAAUGUCUGGGAAACUGCCCGAUGGAGGGGGAUAACUACUGGAAACGGUAGCUAAUACCGCAUACCAUCGGAUGUGCCCAGAUGGGCUUAGCUAGUAGGUGGGGUAAAGGGUCACCUAGGCGACGAUCCCUAGCUGGUCUGCGAGGAUGACCAGCGACACUGGAACUGAGACCCGGUCCCGACUCCUACGGGAGGCAGCAGUGGGGAAUAGUGCACAAGGGGCGCAAGCCUGAUGCAGCGAGGCCGGGGGUAUGAAGAAGGUCUUCGGGUUGUAAAGUACUUUCAGCGUGGAGGCGUUACUCGCAGAAGAAGCACCGGCUAACUCCGUGCCAGCCGCCGCGGUAAUAC
rnacentral:rRNA from 1 species